rnacentral:rRNA from 1 species
AUUGAACGCUGGCGGCAGGCCUAACACAUGCAAGUCGAGCGGAGCGGCGGACGGGUGAGUAAUGCCUAGGAAUCUGCCUGGUAGUGGGGGAUAACGUCCGGAAACGGGCGCUAAUACCGCAUACUCUCAGAUGAGCCUAGGUCGGAGUCGCUAGUUGGUGGGGUAAAGGCCUACCAAGGCUACGAUCCUUAACUGGUCUGAGAGGAUGAUCAGUCACACUGGAACUGAGAACCGGGCCAGACGCCUACGGGAGGCAGCAGUGGGGAAUAUUGGACAAGGGGCGAAAGCCUGAUCCAGCCAUGCGGCGUGUGUGCAGAAGGUCUUCGGAUGGUAAAGCACUUUAAGUUGGGAGGCGUUACCAACAGAAUAAGCACCGGCUAACUUCGUGCCAACAGCCGCGGUAAUAC